rnacentral:rRNA from 1 species
GUUGGUGAGGUAACGGCUCACCAAGGCGACGAUGGGUAGCCGACCUGAGAGGGUGAUCGGCCACACUGGAACUGAGACACGGUCCAGACUCCUACGGGAGGCAGCAGUGGGGAAUAUUGGGCAAUGGGCGAAAGCCUGACCCAGCAACGCCGCGUGAGGGAAGAAGGUCUUCGGAUUGUAAACCUCUGUCCUUGGGGACGAAGGAAGUGACGGUACCCAAGGAGGAAGCUCCGGCUAACUACGUGCCAGCAGCCGCGGUAAUACGUAGGGAGCGAGCGUUGUCCGGAAUUACUGGGCGUAAAGGGUGCGUAGGCGGCGUGGCAAGUCAGAUGUGAAAUCCCCGGGCUUAACUCGGGAGUUGCAUUUGAAACUGCCAUGCUUGAGUGCAGGAGAGGAAAGCGGAAUUCCUAGUGUAGCGGUGAAAUGCGUAGAUAUUAGGAGGAACACCAGUGGCGAAGGCGGCUUUCUGGACUGUAACUGACGCUGAGGCACGAAAGCGUGGGGAGCAAACAGGAUUAGAUACCCUGGUAGUCCACGCUGUAAACGAUGGAUACUAGGUGUGGGGGAGAUACAACCUCCGUGCCGCAGCAAACGC